rnacentral:rRNA from 1 species
UUCCGGUUGAUCCUGCCGGAGGCCACUGCUAUGGGGGUCCGACUAAGCCAUGCGAGUCAUGGGGCGCCUUGCGCGCACCGGCGGACGGCUCAGUAACACGUCGGUAACCUACCCUCGGGAGGGGGAUAACCCCGGGAAACUGGGGCUAAUCCCCCAUAGGCCUGAGGUACUGGAAGGUCCUCAGGCCGAAAGGGGCUCUGCCCGCCCGAGGAUGGGCCGGCGGCCGAUUAGGUAGUUGGUGGGGUAACGGCCCACCAAGCCGAAGAUCGGUACGGGCCAUGAGAGUGGGAGCCCGGAGAUGGACACUGAGACACGGGUCCAGGCCCUACGGGGCGCAGCAGGCGCGAAACCUCCGCAAUGCGGGCAACCGCGACGGGGGGACCCCCAGUGCCGUGGCAUCGCCACGGCUUUUCCGGAGUGUAAAAAGCUCCGGGAAUAAGGGCUGGGCAAGGCCGGUGGCAGCCGCCGCGGUAAUACCGGCGGCCCGAGUGGUGGCCGCUAUUAUUGGGCCUAAAGCGUCCGUAGCCGGGCCCGUAAGUCCCUGGCGAAAUCCCACGGCUCAACCGUGGGGCUUGCUGGGGAUACUGCGGGCCUUGGGACCGGGAGAGGCCGGGGGUACCCCUGGGGUAGGGGUGAAAUCCUAUAAUCCCAGGGGGACCGCCAGUGGCGAAGGCGCCCGGCUGGAACGGGUCCGACGGUGAGGGACGAAGGCCAGGGGAGCGAACCGGAUUAGAUACCCGGGUAGUCCUGGCUGUAAAGGAUGCGGGCUAGGUGUCGGGCGAGCUUCGAGCUCGCCCGGUGCCGAAGGGAAGCCGUUAAGCCCGCCGCCUGGGGAGUACGGCCGCAAGGCUGAAACUUAAAGGAAUUGGCGGGGGAGCACUACAAGGGGUGGAGCGUGCGGUUUAAUUGGAUUCAACGCCGGAA